rnacentral:rRNA from 1 species
CCUACGGGAGGCAGCAGUGAGGAAUAUUGGUCAAUGGACGAGAGUCUGAACCAGCCAAGUAGCGUGAAGGAUGACUGCCCUAUGGGUUGUAAACUUCUUUUAUAUGGGAAUAAAAUGUUGCACGUGUGGGAUUUUGUAUGUACCAUAUGAAUAAGGAUCGGCUAACUCCGUGCCAGCAGCCGCGGUAAGACGGAGGAUCCGAGCGUUAUCCGGAUUUAUUGGGUUUAAAGGGAGCGUAGGUGGAUUGUUAAGUCAGUUGUGAAAGUUUGCGGCUCAACUGUAAAAUUGCAGUUGAAACUGGCAGUCUUGAGUACAGUAGAGGUGGGCGGAAUUCGUGGUGUAGCGGUGAAAUGCUUAGAUAUCACGAAGAACUCCGAUUGCGAAGGCAGUUCACUGGACUGCAACUGACACUGAGGCUCGAAAGUGUGGGUAUCAAACAGGAUUAGAUACCCCUGUAGUC